rnacentral:rRNA from 1 species
AAAUUGAAGAGUUUGAUCAUGGCUCAGAUUGAACGCUGGCGGCAGGCCUAACACAUGCAAGUCGAACGGUAACAGGGAUCAGCUUGCUGAUUCGCUGACGAGUGGCGGACGGGUGAGUAAUGUCUGGGAAACUGCCUGAUGGAGGGGGAUAACUACUGGAAACGGUAGCUAAUACCGCAUAACGUCGCAAGACCAAAGAGGGGGACCUUCGGGCCUCUUGCCAUC